rnacentral:rRNA from 1 species
GAACGCUAGCGAUAGGCUUAACACAUGCAAGUCGAGGGGCAGCGGGUUGAAAGCUUGCUUUCAAUGCCGGCGACCGGCGCACGGGUGCGUAACGCGUAUCAAACCUGCCUCAUACUCGGGGAUAGCCUUGCGAAAGUAAGAUUAAUACCCGAUGUUGUUGCUUUCUCGCAUGGGAGAGUAACCAAAGAUUUAUCGGUAUGAGAUGGUGAUGCGUCCGAUUAGGUAGUAGGCGGGGUAACGGCCCACCUAGCCUUCGAUCGGUAGGGGUUCUGAGAGGAAGGUCCCCCACACUGGAACUGAGACACGGUCCAGACUCCUACGGGAGGCAGCAGUGAGGAAUAUUGGUCAAUGGGCGAGAGCCUGAACCAGCCAAGUAGCGUGCAGGAUGACGGCCCUCCGGGUUGUAAACUGCUUUUAGUUGGGAAUAAAAAAAGGGACGUGUCCCUUCUUGUAUGUACCUUCAGAAAAAGGACCGGCUAAUUCCGUGCCAGCAGCCGCGGUAAUACGGAAGGUCCAGGCGUUAUCCGGAUUUAUUGGGUUUAAAGGGAGCGUAGGCGGAUUGUUAAGUCAGCGGUUAAGGGGUGUGGCUCAACCAUGCAUUGCCGUUGAAACUGGCGAUCUUGAGUGCAGACAGGGAUGCCGGAAUUCGUGGUGUAGCGGUGAAAUGCUUAGAUAUCACGAAGAACUCCGAUCGCGAAGGCAGGUGUCCGGGCUGCAACUGACGCUGAGGCUCGAAAGUGUGGGUAUCAAACAGGAUUAGAUACCCUGGUAGUCCACACAGUAAACGAUGUAUACUCGCGGUUUGCGAUAGAUUGUAAGCCGCCAAGCGAAAGCAUUAAGUAUACCACCU